AGUGAACGCUGGCGGUAGGCCUAACACAUGCAAGUCUAACGGCAGCACAGUAAGAGCUUGCUCUUACGGGUGGCGAGUGGCGGACGGGUGAGGAAUACAUCGGAAUCUACCUUUUCGUGGGGGAUAACGUAGGGAAACUUACGCUAAUACCGCAUACGACCUACGGGUGAAAGCAGGGGAUCUUCGGACCUUGCGCGAUUGAAUGAGCCGAUGUCGGAUUAGCUAGUUGGCGGGGUAAAGGCCCACCAAGGCGACGAUCCGUAGCUGGUCUGAGAGGAUGAUCAGCCACACUGGAACUGAGACACGGUCCAGACUCCUACGGGAGGCAGCAGUGGGGAAUAUUGGACAAUGGGCGCAAGCCUGAUCCAGCCAUACCGCGUGGGUGAAGAAGGCCUUCGGGUUGUAAAGCCCUUUUGUUGGGAAAGAAAAGCAGCAGGUUAAUACCCCGCUGUUCUGACGGUACCCAAAGAAUAAGCACCGGCUAACUUCGUG
rnacentral:rRNA from 1 species